GAUGACGUUUACUUGAGUUAGAAGUGUCAAUUGGGCUGUCCAAAGUCCAAUGGUCAUGUCCACUUGGAACAUUUUUU
rnacentral:sRNA from 1 species